UCAAAGAUUAAGCCAUGCAUGUCUCAGUAUAAGCAAACUUGUAUGUGUGAAACUGCGAAUGGCUCAUUAAAUCAGUUAUAAUUUAUUUGAUAGUGAUUUUCUACAUGGAUAGCCGUAGUAAUUCUAGAGCUAAUACAUGCAUAAAGACCCGACUUUAUUAAAUAGGAAGGGUUGUAUUUAUUAGAUCGAAAACCAACGCAGGAAGGUAGGAACGAGUGGGAAACCAUUAGUUCUAAAAAAUACCUUCCGAAUAAUUUGGUGAGUCAUGAUAAAUGUCGAAUCGAAUAAUUUUAUUCGAUGUGUCAUUCAAAUUUCUGCCCUAUCAACUUGUUGGUAGGAUAGGGGCCUACCAUGGUAUUGACGGGUAACGGAGGAUUAGGGUUCGAUUCCGGAGAGGGAGCCUGAGAAAUGGCUACUACUUCUAAGGAAGGCAGCAGGCGCGCAAAUUACCCAAUCCCAAUUAUAUUGGGGAGGUAGUGACAAAAAAUACCGAUGCUCGAGUCCUCUGUGACUCGGUAAUUGGAAUGGUUUGGAAACAAAUUCUCCAUAGAGCAGCCAUUAGAGGGCAAGUCUGGUGCCAGCAGCCGCGGUAAUUCCAGCUCUAAUAGUGUAUACUAAAAUUGCUGCAGUUAAAAAGCUCGUAGUUGGAUUUUGGAUGGAACACAACAUCUUUGUAUAUUGUUGUUUGAGUCGGUUACACACUUUCCUGAAUCUAUAAAGGGAGUGUGUGGAUCCUCAUUCGGCUACAAAGGUUAUUCCGUCCGUAUUUUUAUUUUUCGAAAUUGACGCGUCCCCUUAAUUGGGCUUUGAUGGGUUAGGUUCGGAGGGUUUACUUUGAAGAAAUUGUAGUGUUUAAAGCAGGCGUUUCGCAGCUGAACACAUUAGCAUGGAAUAAUAAAAUAGGACAUCUGAGCGUUUUGUUCCUGCUUGAUUCCCGUCCAUUUUUUAUCCUUUCAGUCGUAAAAGGAUUGGAAGGGGUUUAAUGGGGGAGGAGGAAGGUUGUUGGGAUGGAAGCAUAUUUCAUCUUAACGCCUUUCUUUUCCCUUCCCUUCUUUUUAAUUCUUUUUAUCGUGCUGGGAUGAUGGAUACUCUCUUAGGGGAGUCUUUUGGGGAGUCAAUGAGAUUUGGGCUCGCUAUCAUUAGUAUAUCUAUUUUGUUGGUUUUUGGAGAAGGUGUAAUGAUUAAUAGGGACAGUUGGGGGCAUCCGUAUUGCAUUGUCAGAGGUGAAAUUCUUGGAUUUAUGCAAGACGAACUGGUGCGAAAGCAUUUGCCAAGGAUGUUUUCAUUAAUCAAGAACGAAAGUUAGGGGAUCGAAGGCGAUCAGAAACCGCCGUAGUCUUAACUAUAAACUAUACCAACUAGGGAUUGGAGAGCGUACUUUUAAAUGGCCUCGUCAGCACCUUUAGAGAAAUCAUAAGUCUCUGGGUUCUGGGGGGAGUAUGGUCGCAAGGCUGAAACUUAAAGAAAUUGGCGGAAGGGCACCACCAGGUGUGGAGCCUGCGGCUUAAUUCGACUCAACACGGGGAAACUCACCAGGUCCAGACACGGGAAGGAUUGACAGAUUGAUAGCUCUUUCUUGAUUCUGUGGGUGGUGGUGCAUGGUCGUUCUUAGUUGGUGGAGUGAUUUGUCUGGUUAAUUCCGAUAACGAACGAGACCUUAACCUGCUAAAUAGCUCAGUCUCAAAAGUUGAGGCGUUCGCGCGCCUUUGUUUUUUGAGACAUUUUUUUUUUGCUUGCGAAAGUGAGUAGAUUUGGGGAGCUUCUUAGAGGGACUACCAUGGUUUCACAUGGUGGAAGCUUGAGGCAAUAACAGGUCUGUGAUGCCCUUAGAUGUCCUGGGCCGCACGCGCGCUACAAUGAUGCAAUCAACAAGCUUGUGCUUUUCCGAAAGGAUUGGCUAAUCUUUUGAAUCUGCAUCGUGCCUGGGGAUUGAUCUUUGUAAUUUUUGAUCAUGAACUAGGAAUACCUAGUAAGUGCGACUCAUCACGUCGCGCUGAUUACGUCCCUGCCUUUUGCACACACCGCCCGUCGCUCCUACCGAUUGAAUGAUCAGAUGAAAUGCCCGGAUGCGUGGGGUGUUUAUCUGUUUAUGUAAAAGUAAGUGUGUGAAUGCCUUGUGGAGAAGAGUAGUGAAUCUUAUUAUUUAGA
rnacentral:rRNA from 1 species